UACGUAGGGUGCGAGCGUUGUCCGGAAUUACUGGGCGUAAAGAGCUCGUAGGUGGUUUGUCGCGUUGUUCGUGAAAUCUCACGGCUUAACUGUGAGCGUGCGGGCGAUACGGGCAGACUAGAGUACUGCAGGGGAGACUGGAAUUCCUGGUGUAGCGGUGGAAUGCGUAGAGAUCCGGAAGAACACCGGUGGCGAAGGCGGUCUGCUGGGCCAAGACUGACGCUGAGGCGCGACAGCGUGGGGAGCAAACAGG
rnacentral:rRNA from 1 species